UUUUGUUUUGUGUCCUCUGCAGAUGGAGAUUGUGUUUAAAGGUCUGGACCAGUACUCUGAAGAGGAGAAGCUCCAGCGGCUGUUGAAACUGAAACUCCGUUAUUUUACUCCCAGAGAAGUUGCCAACCUCAUGGGUUUCCCUCAAAGCUUCUCUUUUCCAGAGCACAUCCGUACCAAGCAGCAGUACAGAGUUCUAGGAAACAGCCUCAAUGUUGACGUGGUGGCCAGACUUCUACAGCUGCUGGUUUCCUAGCAUUCGGGCCACAUAGGUGACUACCAUUGUAGAUUACGUUACAGACUGCUCUCUAUGCAAUGUCCGUGUUUAAAAAUGUAUAGUCUGCUGUUUAUUGCAAAUGUCCACUGGUCAAAUGCUGGUCAAAUGUACUUUAUAUUCACCACUGUACAGUCUUAGUUACAUACCUUUGUUACGUUUAAAACAAUUACAGCCAGGGUAUAAAUUCUAUACUCAACUCAUGCUUAAUUAAUGCAUGACUCAUAGCAAUUUAAUGCAGGCUGUAUUAUGAACUCCUGUUACUUGUUGCCUGUUGCUACUUGGAGCAAUAUGAUUUUCCUGCUUGACUCAUGAUGAUAAAAUUCAUAAUUCAAAAGACCAAUGUGUAACACUGAGAGACAUGUUAUUUUAUGCUUAUUAUAAUCCGUUUUUUCCAUAUUCGGCCAAUCUUAGACAUUGGACCUUCACGUAUAUUUUACCCUUUAUAAUAAAGUGUUACCAAUGUAUUUCAACUGAACCAGAAUAUGUUGGUUUAAGGGAUUUUUACAUAAAUGGAAAUAAAAACUUUUUGUGUG